AUGCUCACUUCAGCAGCAUAUACACUAAAACUGGAAUGAUACAAAAGAGAUUAGCAUGGCCCCUGUGUGAUAUACCAGAAUUCAUGAAGUGCUCUGCAUUUUU